UGGGGAAUAUUGGGCAAUGGACGAAAGUCUGACCCAGCAACGCCGCGUGAAGGAAGAAGGCUUUCGGGUUGUAAACUUCUUUUAAGGGGGAAGAGCAGAAGACGGUACCCCUUGAAUAAGCCACGGCUAACUACGUGCCAGCAGCCGCGGUAAUACGUAGGUGGCAAGCGUUGUCCGGAUUUACUGGGUGUAAAGGGCGUGCAGCCGGGAAGGCAAGUCAGAUGUGAAAUCUGGAGGCUCAACCUCCAAACUGCAUUUGAAACUGCUUUUCUUGAGUAUCGGAGAGGUAAUCGGAAUUCCUUGUGUAGCGGUGAAAUGCGUAGAUAUAAGGAAGAACACCAGUGGCGAAGGCGGAUUACUGGACGACAACUGACGGUGAGGCGCGAAAGCGUGGGGAGCAAACAG
rnacentral:rRNA from 1 species